UACGGAGGAUGCGAGCGUUAUCCGGACUUAUUGGGUUUAAAGGGUGCGUAGGCGGGCUUUUAAGUCAGCGGUAAAAAUUCGGGGCUCAACCCCGUCCGGCCGUUGAAACUGGGGGUCUUGAGUGGGCGAGAAGAAGGCGGAAUGCGUGGUGUAGCGGUGAAAUGCAUAGAUAUCACGCAGAACCCCGAUUGCGAAGGCAGCCUUCCGGCGCCCUACUGACGCUGAGGCACGAAAGUGCGGGGAUCGAACAGG
rnacentral:rRNA from 1 species